CUGUAUGUUUCUCAUGUUUUGUUUUAAACUCUUCAUUUUUCUGGUCAUUUCCUCUUGUUCCAUAUUCUUAUUGGCCUUUUCGAUGUCGACUGAGAGCAUGUACUGAGGAGUAUGGUUGUAAGAAUCUGGAACCUUGAAAGUCAUUUCUGGAGGGUAAUGUUAGGUAUCAUGAUCAUUCAAUUAUGGAUCAUUGUUGAGCUUUUGAGUGAGAGUCGGUUGAGGAACGGUGAAAGUCGGUACGAUUGGUACAACAUAUGGGUCAUUUUUGAGGGGUCCCAUUGGAGGACGUGGAAUGGAAGUACUAGGGAUAGUGGGAAGGUUAAUGCU
rnacentral:lncRNA from 1 species